AGUGAACGCUGGCGGUAGGCCUAACACAUGCAAGUCGAACGGCAGCACAGGAGAGCUUGCUCUCUGGGUGGCGAGUGGCGGACGGGUGAGGAAUGCAUCGGAAUCUACUCUUUUGUGGGGGAUAACGUAGGGAAACUUACACUAAUACAGCAUACGACCUACGGGUGAAAGCCGGGGACCUUCGGGCCUGGCGCGAAUGAAUGAGCCGAUGCCCGAUUAGCUAGUUGGCGGGGUAAGAGCCCACCAAGGCGACGAUCGGUAGCUGGUCUGAGAGGAUGAUCAGCCACACUGGAACUGAGACACGGUCCAGACUCCUACGGGAGGCAGCAGUGGGGAAUAUUGGACAAUGGGCGCAAGCCUGAUCCAGCCAUACCGCGUGGGUGAAGAAGGCCUUCGGGUUGUAAAGCCCUUUUGUUGGGAAAGAAAAGCAGCUGGUUAAUACCCGGUUGUUCUGACGGUACCCAAAGAAUAAGCACCGGCUAACUUCGUG
rnacentral:rRNA from 1 species